rnacentral:rRNA from 1 species
CAGCCGCCGCGGUAAUACGUAGGUGGCAAGCGUUGUCCGGAAUUAUUGGGCGUAAAGGGCUCGCAGGCGGUUUCUUAAGUCUGAUGUGAAAGCCCCCGGCUCAACCGGGGAGGGUCAUUGGAAACUGGGAAACUUGAGCGCAGAAGAGGAGAGUGGAAUUCCACGUGUAGCGGUGAAAUGCGUAGAGAUGUGGAGGAACACCAGUGGCGAAGGCGACUCUCUGGUCUGUAACUGACGCUGAGGAGCGAAAGCGUGGGGAGCGAACAGGAUUAGAUACCCCCGUAGUCCCUGUCUCUUAUAC